UACGGAGGGUGCGAGCGUUAAUCGGAAUCAUUGGGUUUAAAGGGUCCGUAGGCGGGUUAAUAAGUCAGUGGUGAAAGUCUGCAGCUCAACUGUAGAACUGCCAUUGAUACUGUUAACCUUGAGUAAUUAUGAAGUGGUUAGAAUAUGUAGUGUAGCGGUGAAAUGCAUAGAUAUUACAUAGAAUACCGAUUGCGAAGGCAGAUCACUAAUAAUUUACUGACGCUGAUGGACGAAAGCGUAGGUAGCGAACAGG
rnacentral:misc_RNA from 1 species